CCUACGGGAGGCUGCAGUGGGGAAUAUUGCACAAUGGGGGAAACUCUGAUGCAGCGACGCCGCGUGAGUGAAGAAGUAUCUCGGUAUGUAAAGCUCUAUCUGCAGGGAAGAAAAUGACGGUACCUGAUUAAGAAGCCCCGGCUAACUACGUGCCAGCAGCCGCGGUAAUACGUAGGGGGCAAGCGUUAUCCGGAUUUACUGGGUGUAAUGGGAGCGUAGACGGCAGCACAAGUCUGGAGUGAAAUGCCGGGGCUUAACCCCGGAACUGCUUUGGAAACUGUGCAGCUAGAGUGCAGGAGAGGUAAGUGGAAUUCCUGGUGUAGCGGUGAAAUGCGUAGAUAUUAGGAGGAACACCAGUGGCGAAGGCAGCUUACUGGACUGUAACUGACGUUGAGGCUCGAAAGCGUGGGGAGCAAACAGGAUUAGAUACCCCAGUAGUC
rnacentral:rRNA from 1 species